GAUGAAACAAUAUUUAGAUUUAAUUUGUUUACAAGAAACACAUAUUGCUAAAAGACAUAGAGGAUUAUUAUUACAUUAUUAUUGUUUUUAUUCAUUUUUACCCAUCAAACAGAAAAAGAAAAGAAAUAUCCAUCACCACAAAAGAAAAGAAAAGACUCGAUACAUCAACUAGUAGUCUCAAAAUCUUGAAAUAAUAAUGGUCUUUUUCUAUCAACCAGACUUCCCGUCUACUCUUUACAUCAAUUUCUCAUUAAUCUAUUUGUUCACUGCCAUAGCAUAUCAAGUUUUAUUAAAGUUUAAUAGCCUUUAAUCUAUAUUUUCUUUUACAUUAUACUGGAAACUACUGCUGGAAUUAUUCGAACGCUGCAACUGACCUUAAACUACAAUGGUUAUUUUUCAAAUAGUUUUUAAACACUUCCCAUUUUGAAACAAAUACCUGUUUUGGUUUGUUUUUUGUUUUUUCUGACAAGCUAUCUAGUUCCGCAUAUUCAGCCAUUUUUUGAAUCCAUUCUAAUCUCGACGGAACUUUGUCAUUCUUCCAAUGUACCACAAUGAAAACUCUUGCUGCAACCAUGGUGUAUAAAAAGAUCUCUCUUACCUUCUUGGGAAUAUCCAAAUCUAUGAUUUCCAAACGGUAAGCUUCUGGUUUUUUAAUUAAAGGAUAUUUUAAACAUUUUUUUUUCCAAUUCUAUGUGGGUAUCCUCCCAGAACACCUUAAUUUCUUUACACUGCCACCACAUGUGGAAUAGAGUAGCUGGCUUUUCUUUGCACCUCCAACAAUUACUUGGGACACUUUUAUACAUCUUAGACAGUUUACAUGGAUUUAGAUACCACCGAAUUUGCAUUUUAAGACAGUUCUCUCUCAGAGAGUAACAAGCUGUGAAUUUCCAGUUUGUUUUCCACAGGUUUUCUCACGGCUACAUAGUUAUUGUGUUCCCAAAACCUUGUGACCACUUAACCAUAGCCACUGUGACCUCCUCCUCCUUGACUUCCCAGUCAAGGAUGAGUCGGUACAUUUUAGAAAGUGUUUUAAUCUUUGAGUUCACCACAUCAGAUUCAAAUCUGGAGGUCUCAGUGGAGAAAGCCUUCUGUUUCUCAGCUUUAAAUGUCUCAAAUAUUUGGUGGCAUUGAAGCCAGUCAGAUACGCACUCUCUUAUUUCCUUGAAACUUUUUCAUUUCAGUUGGUUAUUUUCUUCCUUUAGGAGUGCUUUAUAUAUUGGCCUGGUUCCCUGAGUUUUUCCCCUCUUAACCGCACAAGCCUCUAUUGGGGAGAUCCACCAGGGUACUUUGGGUUCAAGCAAAUUUUUAUAUUUCUUCCAAACCAUAAUUAAUGAUUUCCUAAUAAUAUGGUUCUAAAGGUUUCUAUGGACUUUAAUUUUCCCAAAAGCCAAGUAUGCAUGCCAUCCUCAUUGACUGUCAAUGCCACCCAACUCUAAAAGAUCCAGGUCUUACAGUGUACACCACUCCUUUAGCCAGGUGAAGCAGACUGCCUUGUAGUAUAAUUUCAGAUCAGGUAGGGGAAAGCCUCCUCAAUCUUUUACAUCAAUUAGAAUUAGAUUGUUUAAUUCAAUAAUCUUCUAUGUCUAUGACCCAGACAUAGAAGAUUAUUGAUAAAUAAAAGAAUGAGUUUGGAAUUUGUGUCUUCAGAUAGCACUAAGAAACAAGGAGUAGUUUUGUAUAUUAGGUCCAAAUUUCAACCACAAUUGCUAUUUAAAGAUGAAUUGGGAAGAGUAAUAGUGACACAAAUUACAAUACAGGGGCAAGAAGCUAUCAUUAUAGGAAUUCACGCUCCUAAUGAAAAGAAGGUUGAAUUCUUUAAAGACCUGGAAAAUAAAUUAAUGGAAUAUAUGGAUCAAAAGAUUAUUAUGCUAGGAGACAUGAAUGGCGUAUUCUCACUGGAAAUGGAUAGAACAAUAAGGAACUCAGAAUCAAAAGAAGGGAAAUUACCACUAACCUUCUUUGCAAUGAAUGAAAAUAUGAAUUUAAUUGAUGCUUGGAGAUUUAAGCACUCAUUAGGGAAUUCACUUUCCUAUCAGAAGUACACCAAUCAAGCAACCUGAUCGGUGCUGUGUGGAUAUCUAAGGAAAUUACCUUAAUGGUAAAGUCAGCAGAUAUACUACCAAGGAGCCUUUCUGACCACAACCCAGUUCUUAUACAGAUAAAAGGAGAAGGUAAUACCUUGAGAAGCUGGAGGUUAAACAAAGACUUAUUAAACAAUCAGGAAAUAACUAAGAUGGCAGAAAAAAUCUUAAAAGACUAUUUUGAAUUAAAUAGCCAUAAAGGGACAGAAGGCAAUAUAAUAUGGUAUGCCAGUAAAGCAGUAAUUAGAAGCUUCUUUAUUAGCCAAAAUGCAUAUCAAAAGAAACUUAGAGAUCAGAAGAAAAAAGCAAUUCUGGACGAAAUAAUUAAACAAGAAAAAGAGUAAAAAAUCACAAAAGGAGACUAUUAAACAGACAAUUAAAAUAUUGCAAUCAGAAUACUCAAUGAUAAUCAAGAAGUAAUGUGGAAAAUUAAAAUAUUAAAGCGAAAGAAUUUUGAGUAUGGAAAUAAGCCAUGGAAACUUUUAGCAUGGCAAUUAAAUAAAAGGAAAUAAUUUGAUUCAUGAGAUAAAAGCAAAUGAUAAAAGAUAAUCUGAAAGAGUUCAGGAAUCCAUUUGUUAAAUAUUUUACAGAUUUAUACCCCAAAGGCCCAGAAAAUAAAAUAGAUAUUGAAAUAUAUUUACAACAAAAUAAGCUGCCAAAAAUUCUAAAUGAAAAAUUAAACGUAUUAAACACUCUAAUUAGUAAUCCGGAAAUUCUAGAAGCUAUUAAACAAGUAAAGCCCAAGGCCCGGAUGGUCUAACAGCAAAAUAUUAUUUAAAAAAUUACAAAACUGGCUAGUGCAACCAUUACAAAAUGUACUGAGUGGAAUAUUAGCAACAGGAAAGACACCAUAGACAUGGGAAGAGGCAUACAUUACUUUAAUCCCAAAGCAAGAGGCAGAUAGAUUAGAAGUUGAAAAUUAUAGACCAAUUUUAUUACUAAACUGUGAUUGUAAAAUAUUUGCUAAUAUUUUAGCAAAGAGAAUGAAAGGUCUAUUGUUGGAAAUAAUCCACCAAGAUCAAGCAGGAUUCCUCCCAGGUUGACAAAUGGCCCCCUGCUGAACAGGUUUGCUGACCCUUGCUUUGAAGACUGGCGAAAAGAUGUUACAAAAUUUAUUUGGCAGGGGAAGAAGCCAAGAAUAAAAUACAAAUUAUUAACAGCUAUUAAAGAAAGAGGAGGCUUUUCACUGCCAGAUCUGAAACGCUAUUAUGAAGCCUUAUGUAUUUGUUGAAUUCGAGAAUGAAUCAAAUUUUUUAAAAAUACAGAUUUAUUAAAUCUGGAUGGGUAUGAUAAUAGAUUGAGUUGGCAUAGUUACUUAUGGUAUGAAAAGGCAAGAAUGUCGGAUUCUCAGGCCUCAGUCAGAGGUAACUGGCCACUCUCCAGGCACUCGGCUUGAGAUCCUUGUUGACCUCCCUGUCUGCGUCUCCCGGCAGGAUACAGGCAAGGUCACAUUCGGCGAUCCCACUCAGCGUGAGAGGGACACACCAUUCCUCCCUCCUCCCUGCUUCCCUCAGGGAGGGGAAAGAGACAGACAGAAAUCUAUUUACAUGUCUUUAUUUCUGUCAUUGCAGCAGUACAGAGAAACACGUCUGCACUCUCCAGUCUCCAACAGUAGAGAGAUAAAACUCCACCCCUGUACUUCCAGUACAGGUCAGAUGACACUCUGAGCUAACAUCCGGUGCUCAGUACAGUGAAUAGAUUGCCCCUUUGUUCCCAUGGUACAGUCCCAAACAUCAACAUCCUGUUUUGCUUUGCAGACACCUGCAGCUCGCUCUUGCAUUGCUGCUUUUUCCUGACAUCCUGCCCCAAAAGUAUCAAUGUGCGUUGCGAGCAAAGUGUGAUCCAGAGAAGAAUACAAACAGUUGUUAUACAUAUAACAAUCCCCUGUUGUUUCAGUUCCACCCUUGGAACUCCCCGCCACUGGUUUCCCCAGUGUACCUCUCUGGUUGUCUGGCUUCCAAGGAAUGAGUGGCAUCUGCAUUACCUUGGCUUGUAACUCUCUGUUGUGUCUUUGUCUCUGACUUAGACACAGCUUCAACCUGUCUUGAGUUGUUAACAAUAGCAACACAUGCAACAGCUAAGUUAGCAAACUCUUUUGAAUACCUCUUGGGUGGUACACCCUUUGUAAUUCUCUCAGACCUGCGUAUGAGGUGCUGAUCCUCUCUGCUCACUGGUUCAGCUUCUGGACUCUUAGGAGAACCAGAUCCAAUAGUAAACAGUGGUUCUUCCUUCAUCUGUGAAGGCCUAUCCAUUGUGUAAGACUUCCUCUCAAUGACUGUGUCAACUGAGCUCUGUGAGCUAUCACUGUCAUCAUCACCACUGUAAUCAGUAAAAUCAUUAUCAUCAUCAUCUGAAUUGCCCUCAGUGGGAAAUGUGUGAACAAUUACUCUCUCCUGUUCAGGAGCACUCUCUAGAAAUUUUGUGAGAAUCACCUGACCAGAUUCAGACAAAAUUACUCUGUAGAGACCCUUUUCAUAUCCCACAAAAAUGCCUCUGGCAUUCUUUACUCCACCUGGAGCUUCUGUUCUCACAUGAGACCCAAAAACCUUAAAAUAGGCAACAGAAGGUUUUCUAUGGAACAGCUUCUCAAAAGGAGAACUUCCCAACUCUUUUGAGACCUUUCUCAACCACGUGUGAACAUAAGACAUUAACGACUCCGCAAUUCUUUGUUCACCCGUACACAGACACCCCUGUUCCACGCUUCCGCUGAAACAGCAACCUUGUGGUUAAUCCCUUUCUUCUGCAGGAACUCCUGAAAAUCUUGUAAAAGAAAAAUUGGCUUCUCAUCUGUGAAAAGACAAUCUAUGUUAGCAUCAGGCACAUUUUUAACCUUGUCACAAAACUCCUUAAACCUUUCUAAGGCUUCUUUUGGUUUCUCAAAUGUAUAUACCCACACAUAAUGAGAGAAACAAUCCACACACACAAGAUAAUAUCUUGCAUUGCCUCUAGAUGGUGCUAGAGGACCAAUCACAUCAGCAUACACCUGCUGAAAUGCUCUGUCGACCCCGGUCACCUUCCGGGCGUCCUUGGUCAUACCUGCGAGAGAAAUUUCAUUAGAAUCAAAUGCAUUACAUUUCAUGUAAUCACUUUGAUCAAAAGUCAACAAAUACAGUCCAUCUUUCUCUCUGGCAGAAAGAUACAGCUCUCCAUCUUUGAAGAUCUUGCAGCUCUUAUCAUCAUAGGACAGUUUCAGUCCUUUCUUUGCAAUCUGCGAAACACUCAGCAGAUUGAACUUCAACUCAGGAACCAAGUACACAUUGUGUAUAGUCAAGUUCAGACUCUCAAGAUACACAGUUCCAAUCCCGGUCGCUUCCAGCUCCUGACCGUUGGCCUGCUUCACAGUGAAGCUUUGCUUCUUAAAUGUCGAAAACAGACCUCUGUGUGACGUCAUGUGAUUCGAACAACCCGUGUCAAUGAUGAACGUGUUCUCCACCUCUGGCGUGGUUCCUUUCGACAUCAAAGCCUUUGCAGGUUUCACCUGGGACUUGGUGCGACUUUUGCCUGACGCCUCAGGCUUCGCAGAGCUCCCCUUGGCUCCUUUCUGUUGACGUGGCUUCUUACAGUUCCGCUGAAGAUGCCCAGUCUGUCCACAAUUGUAACAUCAGACAGCGCUCAAGGCUACAGCAUGCUCCUCAGUAGCAACAUCAGUGGGGGAGUCAGAACUCCGUGCCUCUCUCCCCCUGUCCUUCACAUCCAGUGCAGCAAGGCGAUCGUGUUCAUUCGGAACAACGGCACACACCCUCUCCGAAGUGAGAUCCUGGGCCGGUAGGGAACCAAGCUGACUGGCAACUGUUUUGUAAGUCCGAUUAAGGCUGUUGAUAAUCAUGAAGCAAAAGACCUCUUCUUGUAGACGGAAAUUGCGCUCCGCCAUCUGCUGACGCAGGAACUUCAUCUCAGUCAAAUGCGCUUGUACAUCUCCAUCAGGCGCAAGCCUCAGCUUGGUCAGCUUUUCAAAAUGCAGCAACACUGAAGAACCAGCAUCUCUCUGAUGUGUUCUACGCAGCGUCUCCCAAAUCUCUCGUGCGUUCACUAAAUCCCGGAUAUGCACGAGUUGCUGAUCUGAGACACAGAGAAUUAUAGCCGUCCUGGCUUUCAGAUUCUGUGAAUUCCAACCUGGCGUUGGUGCUGCAGGAAUGGGGUUCUCAAUCACCCCAAAAAUCCUCUGAUUCUGUAGCAGAGCUUUCAUCUUUAUAGACCAAGAUGAGUAAUUGUCAUUAGUCAGGGGAGGUGGGUAAGGUAAGCCUGCCCCCUUCUUGGCAUCCAUUUUGACUCCAAGCCGCAGCUUUCACUCUCGAGCCUGUAAAAUCCAACAGUCACUCUUGGUUGUUUACUGCCUUUUUCUCACUUGGCAGAUAAACCGCAAGCUGCAUAAAAUGUCCUUGCACAGAACAGGGAGAUAGUCAAAAUAAAAUAGUUUCCUGCUUGGCAGGGGGUUGGACUCGAUGGCCCUUGUGGUCUCUUCCAACUCUAUGAUUCUAUGAUUCUACUCUCCGUGUUCCAGCCCCUUUAGCCAGUAAGUUUCCACUCUACUGACUUCCCGUUGCUUAGCAACAGCACAUUCCAGCGUUAUCUAGGAAUGCAAGGUAUUCGGCUGUUUUCCUGUGCUGGCUUUCAGCCUAACGCAGACACACAGCGAACCGAAGAUAUUUUUCUUUACACGUUCACUUCACACAGCCAUAAAUUCUCCAUACCUUGGGGCUCCGUUGCUUGGCUUUCACUCCGUCUCGAUGCCCAGCCGUCUGUUUAGCUUCUAGCUGCACACAGACUUAUCUUCCUCCCGUGGUGCAGAGGAUGAAGAACGAUCCAUCAACCUCUCAUGCAGAUUUCAAUGGAUCAAAACCACCGGCAAUGCUACCAGAUGUCGGAUUCUCAGGCCUCAGUCAGAGGUAGCUGGCCACUCUCCAGGCACUCGGCUUGAGAUCCUUGUUGACCUCCCUGUCUGCGUCUCCCGGCAGGAUACAGGCAAGGUCACAUUCGGCAAUCCCACUCAGCGUGAGAGGGACACACCAUUCCUCCCUCCUCCCUGCUUCCCUCAGGGAGGGGAAAGAGACAGACAGAAAUCUAUUUACAUGUCUUUAUUUCUGUCAUUGCAGCAGUACAGAGAAACACGUCUGCACUCUCCAGUCUCCAACAGUAGAGAGAUAAAACUCCACCCCUGUACUUCCAGUACAGGUCAGAUGACACUCUGAGCUAACAUCCGGUGCUCAGUACAGUGAAUAGACUGCCCCUUUGUUCCCAUGGUACAGUCCCAAACAUCAACAUCCUGUUUUGCUUUGCAGACACCUGCAGCUCGCUCUUGCGUUGCUGCUUUUUCCUGACAAAGAAUUCAUCAAGGCUUCUGAAAUAAUAUAAUAAGGAAAGUGAUAUUUAAAGUUUGGAGAAAGUAUAAAGGAUUACUGGAACAAAAAACACCAUGGUGACUAUCGUACAUAGGCAAUAUCAGUGAAAAAAAUAAAUAUGGCUACGUAUAGAAGGUUGUUAACAGAAAUAGGAAACCAAUUAAAAUUGAAAGAAUUUAAUGAAAUUAGGGAGAAAAUAACAAAAUGGCUGCAAUAUUUUCAGUUAAAUGAAACAUUUAAGAAUGAUAAAAAGAAAGGAUUUCAGUAUGAAAUUUCAACUUUUCAGAAAGAAAUGAUAGGAAAUUAAUAUCGAAAAUGUACAAUCUGUUGCUAGAAUGGGAAACAAAAGAUGAAGAGGUUAAAUCAAUCAUGUUUAAAUGGG
rnacentral:lncRNA from 1 species